rnacentral:sRNA from 1 species
GUCCGUGGUAGGAAUGCAUCUUAGUUGAAUAUCCUCUUCAGGUUAAUCUUCAAAAUAUUUCCUUCUUAAAAGUUUAACUGUACAGUUAUGUUGCCUUGGGUGUGACAUCAGUGGCCCCCACCUUGGAGGAUGGGGAUGCCCAGUGAUCAGAGUUAGGCCUGGAAGGGCGGAGACUCAUAUUUAGCAGAUAAACUUGGAUGGUGUAGAAGGAAUUGUAGAAGGCUGAUUGAUCUUGGCGUUCUUGAGGUUCGUCCUUGUAUGUUAGUAACAACUUUUUUGGACCCUUUUUGCCCUGUAACUUUAGGUUAAAGAGACUUCAAGGCCGGGUUUACCCCUGUAAUCCCAGCACUUUGGGAGGCCAAGGCGGGUGGAUCACCUGAGGUCAGGAGUUCGAGACCAGCCUGGCCAACAUGGUGAAACCUCAUCUCUACGAAAAAUACAAAAAUUAGCCGGGCGUGGUGGCGGGCGCCUGUGGUCUCAGCUACCCUGGAGGCUGAGGCAGGAGAAUUGCUGGAACCUGGGAGGUGGAGGUUGCAGUGAGCUGAGAUUGCACCAUUGCACUCCAGCCUGGGCAACAACAGCGAGACUCCGUCUCAAAAAAAAAAAAAAAAAAAGCCUUCUAUCUUUAAAGAGUAAAACAGUUGCUGAACACGGAGUGAUCAAGAUGAGUGCCUGUAACAGUGUUAGCUUUUUCCAGUAUUGAUGAUUCCCCAGCCCCCCCCUUUUUUUUUUUUUUGUUUUUUGCUAUCUACCAUUUUUCUCUUCCUCCUCCUUCCUAGCCUUCGUGUUUCAUUUUAGGACUUUGGCUCUUAAAGGGGACUUGAACCAAAUGUUACUUAAAACCUGGAACAAGUUGAACUGCAACCAUAUUUACUCGACUUUGAAUCAAAUCUAAGUACUUAAAAAUGUCCUUGGCAAACCACUUUCAUCUGAAACAGUAUAUUUUCUGAAAAGUUUUGAGCCUGGACAUCUGAUUCUCUGACUCUUAUGACUGUGAAUUAUAAGUUCACAUGUUGACCAUCUAGUAUGAGGCAGGCAUGGACUAGAUGCCAGGAUAAUACAGAGGUGAAGAGGACAUGGUACCUGCCCUUGAGCGCCCCUCAUUGGUGGGGGAGGGAGCACACCUGGACAUAUCACGGUACAAGGUGUAGCAGAUUUCUCCACUGGGGUGCAAAGUAGACACCACUGAAAUGUCACUCAGUAGAUGUCAUUUCAGUUGGGUUUUGCGAUAAGCAGAAGUUAAGAACAUGAAGGAAUAUUUUCAUGUGGAGCGUUAUGUGCUGAGGAAUGAAGGCAUUCAUGCGUUUGGGAUACAUCAGGAUGAUCACUAUAUCUGGAACAGAGUGACGUGAGAUAAAUCUAUUAAGAUAUUCAGUAGUGUGGAGAUUGAAGAGAAGCUAUUGGUUUUGGCAUCCUCAAAGUUCGUGAAAACCGAGUAAAGUGUUUUUGGUAGAGUGUUGGUGGAAGGGGCUGGAUUGCAGGGAGUUGAAGAGUGAAUGGAAACUGAGAACAGAAAGGUUAGACUCUUCAGGAAGUUUGUCCUGAGAAGGAAAUAGAGAAGGCGCCGAGGAAGAGAGGGCUGGGGACGGAUCUGUGUUGCAUCACAAGCGCGUGGAAGGAUGUGGGUGACUUUACUGUUUACAGGUGGAGGGAACAUAGCUAUGGACAGGGAAACCAUGAAGAAGGGAGUAGGAUCAGAAACAGACUGGAGGAUGGGAAAAGGAGGGGGCCUUUUCUGAAGACCAGUCGAAUGGAUGCAUGAAGCUAAAAAUGCUUAGAGGUCAAGGGAAGGAAGAAAGGUAAAGUGGCCCAUGGCCAGCGACCGUUGUUUUUUCACUUGCUAAAUAUUGAGCCUCUGCUCUAGUUCAUAUCUAUUAGUGGUCAAUAAAGUAUUCUGAAAAGGUUGUCUAGCUUGUAGGUCACUUUAUUUUUUUUUGAGGUUGGAGCAAAAGUUUAAUAAGUGAAGGAAGAAAGCUCUCUGCUGCAGAGAGGGGACCUGGAAGAGGGUUGCCCUUGUUAUUCAGCUUCUCAAGGCUGGAAAAGCGAAGGAAGUUUCUUACAAUGCACUAGCCUCACACAUAAUCUCAGAGGAUGGGGACAAUCCAGAGGUGGGAGAAGCUCGGGAAGUCUUUGAUUUACCUGUUGUAAAGCCUUCUUGGGUGAUUCUGUCCGUUCAGUGUGGAGCUCUUCUGCCAGUAAAUGGGUUUUCUCCAGAAUCAUGUCAGAUUUUUUUUGGAAUCACUGCCUGCCUUUCUCAGGUGUCAUCUGAAGACAGAAGUGCCCUGUGGGCUUUGGUUACGUUCUAUGGGGGAGAUUGCCAGCUAAACCUCAAUAAGAAAUGCACGCAUUUGAUUGUUCCAGAGCCAAAGGGGGAGAAAUACGAAUGUGCUUUAAAGCGAGCAAGUAUUAAAAUUGUGACUCCUGACUGGGUUCUGGAUUGCGUAUCAGAGAAAACCAAAAAGGACGAAGCAUUUUAUCAUCCUCGUCUGAUUAUUUAUGAAGAGGAAGAAGAGGAAGAGGAAGAGGAGGAGGAAGUAGAAAAUGAGGAACAAGAUUCUCAGAAUGAGGGUAGUACAGAUGAGAAGUCAAGCCCUGCCAGCUCUCAAGAAGGGUCUCCUUCAGGUGACCAGCAGUUUUCACCUAAAUCCAACACUGAAAAAUCUAAAGGGGAAUUAAUGUUUGAUGAUUCUUCAGAUUCAUCACCGGAAAAACAGGAGAGAAAUUUAAACUGGACCCCGGCCGAAGUCCCACAGUUAGCUGCAGCAAAACGCAGGCUGCCUCAGGGAAAGGAGCCUGGGUUGAUUAACUUGUGUGCCAAUGUCCCACCCGUCCCAGGUAACAUUUUGCCCCCUGAGGUCCGGGGUAAUUUAAUGGCUGCUGGACAAAACCUCCAAAGUUCUGAAAGAUCAGAAAUGAUAGCUACCUGGAGUCCAGCUGUACGGACAUUGAGGAAUAUUACUAAUAAUGCUGACAUUCAGCAGAUUAACCGGCCAUCAAAUGUAGCACAUAUCUUACAGACUCUUUCAGCACCUACGAAAAAUUUAGAGCAGCAGGUGAAUCACAGCCAGCAGGGACAUACAAAUGCCAAUGCAGUGCUGUUUAGCCAAGUGAAAGUGACUCCAGAGACACACAUGCUACAGCAGCAGCAGCAGGCCCAGCAGCAGCAGCAGCAGCACCCGGUUUUACACCUUCAGCCCCAGCAGAUAAUGCAGCUCCAGCAGCAGCAGCAGCAGCAGCAGAUUUCUCAGCAACCUUACCCCCAGCAGCCACCGCAUCCAUUUUCACAGCAGCAGCAGCAGCAGCAGCAAGCCCAUCCGCAUCAGUUUUCACAGCAGCAGCUACAGUUUCCACAGCAACAGUUGCAUCCUCCACAGCAGCUGCAUCGCCCUCAGCAGCAGCUCCAGCCCUUUCAGCAGCAGCAUGCCCUGCAGCAGCAGUUCCAUCAGCUGCAGCAGCACCAGCUCCAGCAGCAGCAGCUCGCCCAGCUCCAGCAGCAGCACAGCCUGCUCCAGCAGCAGCAGCAGCAACAGCAGAUUCAGCAGCAGCAGCUCCAGCAGCAGCAGCUCCAGCGCAUGCACCAGCAGCAGCAGCAGCAGAUGCAAAGUCAGACGGCGCCACACUUGAGUCAGACGUCACAGGCGCUGCAGCAUCAGGUUCCACCUCAGCAGCAGCAGCAACAGCAGCCACCACCACCGCCUCAGCAGCAUCAGCUUUUUGGACAUGAUCCAGCAGUGGAGAUUCCAGAAGAAAGCUUCUUAUUGGGAUGUGUGUUUGCAAUUGCGGAUUAUCCAGAGCAGAUGUCUGAUAAGCAACUGCUGGCCACCUGGAAAAGGAUAAUCCAGGCACACGGUGGCACUGUUGACCCCACAUUCACGAGUAGAUGCACGCACCUUCUCUGUGAGAGUCAAGUCAGCAGCGUGUAUGCACAGGCAAUAAGAGAAAGAAAGAGAUGUGUCACUGCACACUGGUUAAACACAGUCUUAAAGAAGAAGAAAAUGGUACCGCCGCACCGAGCCCUUCACUUCCCAGUGGCCUUCCCACCAGGAGGAAAGCCGUGUUCACAGCAUAUUAUUUCUGUGACUGGAUUUGUUGAUAGUGACAGAGAUGACCUAAAAUUAAUGGCUUAUUUGGCAGGUGCCAAAUAUACGGGUUAUCUAUGCCGCAGCAACACAGUCCUCAUCUGUAAAGAACCAACUGGUUUAAAGUAUGAAAAAGCCAAAGAGUGGAGGAUACCCUGUGUCAACGCCCAGUGGCUUGGCGACAUUCUUCUGGGAAACUUUGAGGCACUGAGGCAGAUUCAGUAUAGUCGCUACACGGCGUUCAGUCUGCAGGAUCCAUUUGCCCCUACCCAGCAUUUAGUUUUAAAUCUUUUAGAUGCUUGGAGAGUUCCCUUAAAAGUGUCUGCAGAGUUGUUGAUGAGUGUAAGACUACCUCCCAAACUGAAACAGAAUGAAGUAGCUAAUGUCCAGCCUUCUUCCAAAAGAGCCAGAAUUGAAGACGUACCACCUCCCACUAAAAAGCUAACUCCAGAAUUGACCCCUUUUGUGCUUUUCACUGGAUUUGAGCCUCUCCAGGUUCAACAGUAUAUUAAGAAGCUCUACAUUCUCGGUGGAGAGGUUGCGGAGUCCGCACAGAAGUGCACACACCUCAUUGCCAGCAAAGUGACUCGCACUGUGAAGUUCCUGACGGCGAUUUCUGUCGUGAAGCACAUAGUAACGCCAGAGUGGCUGGAAGAAUGCUUCAGGUGUCAGAAGUUCAUUGAUGAGCAGAACUACAUUCUCCGAGAUGCUGAGGCAGAAGUACUUUUCUCUUUCAGCUUGGAAGAAUCCUUAAAACGGGCACAUGUUUCUCCACUCUUUAAGGCAAAAUAUUUUUACAUCACACCUGGAAUCUGCCCAAGUCUUUCCACUAUGAAGGCAAUCGUAGAGUGUGCAGGAGGAAAGGUGUUAUCCAAGCAGCCAUCUUUCCGGAAGCUCAUGGAGCACAAGCAGAACUCGAGUUUGUCGGAAAUAAUUUUAAUAUCCUGUGAAAAUGACCUUCAUUUAUGCCGAGAAUAUUUUGCCAGAGGCAUAGAUGUUCACAAUGCAGAGUUCGUUCUGACUGGAGUGCUCACUCAAACGCUGGACUAUGAAUCAUAUAAGUUUAACUGAUGGCGUCUAGGCUGCCGUACGUGUCGAUUCCUGCGGUGCGGGGCUGGCUGGCUGGCUGGCGAGGAGCUGCCGCGCUUCCUUCACAUGCUCUUGUUUUCCAGCUGCUUUCUUGGGGGGUCAGACUGUGAAGCAGGAAGACAGAUAUAAUAAAUAUACUGCAUCUUUUUAAGAUGUGCAAUUUUAUUCUGAGGAAACAUAAAUUAUGUUUUGUAUUAUAUGACUUUAAGAGCCCACAUUAGGUUUUAUGAUUCGUUUGCCAGGUUUUUAAAUGUUUUCACAAAACUGUUAACGGGACUUCAACUAGAAAUAAAAUGGUGUAAAUAAAGACCUUGCUAUCUCUAAAUUAUGGAUGUUAAAGAUUUGAAA